GCUUAAAAGGAAUGGAGCAAAUGAGGAUUCUCAUAAUGGAAUCUUAGAAAACUACAGAAACACAAUAAGUUGUAACCUAGAAAUUACUGCAACUGGAAUUGCUGAAAAAGCGUGAAAAGAGUUGUCAAGAUCAAAAAUGAAAAUAUUUAUUGCCGUGGUAUUGAUGUCGAUGUUAAAUUCUGGAGAGGUUUCAUCGUUAGAUUGGAUGGAUGAAGAAUCUAGCUGGAGAUGGCUAGAUGAACAUUGUAAAAAACUUGGUGUGCUGGCAGUAACUGACAAUCCAACAGCUCUCUAUACUGUGAACAAAUGGAAAUGCAAAGACUUCAAACCUACGCGCAUUAGUACAGUUGAAUGCCACAGAUUAUGCCCACGUAUUUGGCUGGGAACCCAGAGAACAUUGGUAAUGCGGAACAAGUGCGACUACAUCGGAUUAACCCUACGAAUAACCUGUGAUUGUUUGAAUCGCGUAAAAUAAUAUGUAUUUUCUAACAUAUGUUAGAAUCGUUGAGACAAUACACAACUGAUAAAUACUGAAAUGAUAGAAGUCGAGCUUUAUAGUAGUUUGGCAUAUGUUAUCUAUAAGUAAAUAUAAUAGAAACUGUUCGCGUAUGUUUGUGUAACACAUAGCUGUAUAGAGUAGACUAUUUUAUUACUAACAUUAUUGUAUAUCUUAUUUAUUGAUAAUCACUGUCCGACUUAUGCAACUAUUUAGUUAACAGACUUUCAAAGUUACACAUUGUUUUAUUUUAGUGAAACGUACCUAUUUUACGAUGGUAGUAAUCGGAACCUAGGCUUGAUUCAAGUAUAGUAAGAUUAACUAUUUUCAUAUGUGAUCAUUUAUGUAAUCAAUGUAUUUUUAAUAAUUUACUUGA